rnacentral:RNase_P_RNA from 1 species
GAGUAGGUCAGGCAGUCGCGGUCAACGGGCGAAAGCCCCUGUCCGAGGAAAGUCCGGGCUUCACAGAGCGAGGAUAACGGCUAACGGCCGCCGGGGGCGACCCCAGGGAAAGUGCAACAGAAAAUUACCGCGAAUCGUCGCGUAAUGCUCCUUAACCGAGCACAGACCGUGACGACGUAAGGGUGGAAAGGCGAGGUAAGAGCUCACCGGAGUGGGGGAGACCUCACUGCUGUGUAAACCCUAUCCGAAGCAACACCGCGGAGGGACAUACGGCCUGCUCGGCUGUCCCGUGGAGGUGGCACCGAGCCGUCGCGGCAACGCACGGCCAAGAUAGAUGACUGCCCAAUACAGAACCCGGCUUAUAGAUCUACUCAU